rnacentral:rRNA from 1 species
GAGUUUGAUCAUGGUUCAGAUUGAACGCUGGCGGCAUGCCUAACACAUGCAAGUCGAACGGUAACAGGUCUUCGGAUGCUGACGAGUGGCGGACGGGUGAGUAAUGCGUAGGAAUCUGUCUUUUAGUGGGGGACAACCCAGGGAAACUUGGGCUAAUACCGCAUGGGCCCUGAGGGGGAAAGCGGGGGAUCUUCGGACCUCGCGCUAAGAGAGGAGCCUACGUCCGAUUAGCUAGUUGGCGGGGUAAAGGCCCACCAUGGUGACGAUCGGUAGCUGGUCUGAGAGGACGACCAGCCACACUGGGACUGAGACACGGCCCAGACUCCUACGGGAGGCAGCAGUGGGGAAUUUUUCGCAAUGGGGGCAACCCUGACGAAGCAAUGCCGCGUGGAUGAAGAAGGCCUUCGGGUUGUAAAGUCCUUUCGUGGAGGACGAAAAGGUGGGUUCUAAUACAAUCUGCUAUUGACGUGAAUCCAAGAAGAAGCACCGGCUAACUCCGUGCCAGCAGCCGCGGUAAUACGGGGGGUGCAAGCGUUAAUCGGAAUCACUGGGCGUAAAGGGUGCGUAGGCGGUACGUUAGGUCUGUCGUGAAAUCCCCGGGCUCAACCUGG